UUAUUGUCUUUUCAACUUCGUUUUUUCUUUAUUCUUCUUAAAAUUCUUCUUCAUUCUUCAGAAAAAUGCAGAAGCACAUAUGUCAUCCAAAGAUAUGGAGUCUAGGAAAUCUGGGCAAAAAUUAAAGCAUACAUCUUAGAUUCAGCUAAAGAAGCUCAGGUUGAAAGAAAGACAAAUAAAAGCAAGUCUUUCCUAAAGUGUAAAACUCCGUGGUUCUGUACAGAGAUGAAGGAAAAAAGGAAAGAGAAAAGGCUUACCUGAAAUACACGUCAACAAACCGAUGAUUACAGAUUACAGCAGAGCGAUGCAAUAUUGAUAGCCAAAAUGAAGAGUAUGUAGCAGUCAAAGACUAGUUCACAGAUUUAAUACAAGAGGAAAAGAAUUUAACAUGACGAUUUCAACUCGACAACUAAAAAA
rnacentral:lncRNA from 1 species